CUCUGCUGGCACCAAGUGCUUGUGCAGAGGAACUGACCCAAAGUAUAAUUUCCUUCAGCCACAUAUUAGUAACCUAUUCAGAAUAUGCUUAAUGUGAAAAAAAAGCUUUCCUUUUAGGAAAAUAAAAACACUUUAUGAAGGACCCUGAAUGUGCUCCAAUGAUUCUAGACAAAGAACUCCAUUUCUAGAAGAUUCAAAAAUCU
ensembl:lincRNA Gm29513 predicted gene 29513